rnacentral:sRNA from 1 species
UUUAUGACAAGUUGGCAAAGCCUACAUUUAAAGAGUUCAGUUAUGGAUAACAUACCAGUGGACCCUUAUCACAAGCAGCAUUGAUGUAGUACGUGAAGUGGCUGCUCAAAUCGAUCACCAUAUGAAAGGAAGUCUUACAAAAAGAAAAUAUUUAUUGUGUGUUUGUACUUAAAUUACAACUGGACUGUUUAAUUACGUGAUUAUCAAAUUAAAAUGUAUUUCAUCAUUAUCAAAA